AGUGGAUGGUGAGCAACCUAGUUGUGCGUGUGUAAAGGUAGUGCCAAGAAAAGCGGUGAUCAUGAUGAAAAUCAAUUCCCGGUACCCGAAACCGACACAGGUGGGCAAGUAGAGAAUACUAAAGGGCGCGAGGUAACUCUCUCCAAGGAACUCGGCAAAAUGACCCCGUAACUUAGGGAGAAGGGGUGCCACCGAGAGGUGGUCGCAGUGAAGAGGCCCAGGCGACUGUUUAGCAAAAACAUAGGUCUCUGCAAACUCGAAAGAGGAGGUAUAGGGGCUGACGCCUGCCCAGUGCCGGAAGGUUAAAGAAGUUGGUCAGUCUUAGGAUGAAGCUAGCGACUGAAGCCCCGGUGAACGGCGGCCGUAACUAUAACGGUCCUAAGGUAGCGAAAUUCCUUGUCGGGUAAGUUCCGACCCGCACGAAAGGCGUAACGAUCUGGGCGCUGUCUCGGAGAGAGGCUCGGCGAAAUAGGAUUGUCUGUGAAGAUACGGACUACCUGCAUUUGGACAGAAAGACCCUAUGAAGCUUUACUAUAGCUUGGAAUUGUGUUCGGGCUUCCUGUGCGCAGGAUAGGUGGGAGGCGAAGAAGGUAUUCUUGUGGGGAUACUGGAGCCAACGGUGAGAUACCACUCUCAGGAGGCUAGAAUUCUAACUUAAUUAAGGACAGUUUCAGGUGGGUAGUUUGACUGGGGCGGUCGCCUCCAAAAAGGUAACGGAGGCGUACAAAGGUUCCCUCAGACUGGUUGGAAAUCAGUCGCAGAGUGCAAAGGCGGAAGGGAGCUUGACUGCGAGAAGUACAGUUCGAGCAGGGUGGAAACACGGUCUUAGUGAUCCGACGGUGCUGUGUGGAAGGGCCGUCGCUCAACGGAUAAAAGUUACUCUAGGAUAACAGGCUGAUCUCCCCCAAGAGUUCACAUCGACGGGGAGGUUUGGCACCUCGAUGUCGGCUCAUCGCAACCUGGGGCGGAAGUACGUCCCAAGGGUUGGGCUGUUCGCCCAUUAAAGCGGUACGUGAGCUGGGUUCAGAACGUCGUGAGACAGUUCGGUCCAUAUCCGAUGUAGGCGUGAGAAUAUUGAGAGGAGCCUUCCUUAGUACGAGAGGACCGGGAAGGACGCACCGCUGGUGUACCUGUUAUGAUGCCAAUUGUAAACGCAGGGUAGCCAAGUGCGGAGAGGAUAACCGCUGAAAGCAUCUAAGUGGGAAGCCCACCUCAAGAUGAGUAUUCUGGUGUAAGGUCACGGGAAGACGACCCGUAAAUAGGCACGAGGUGGAAGUGCAGAGAUGUAUGAAGCCGAAGUGUACUGAUAGACCGUCGGCUUGACC
rnacentral:rRNA from 1 species